GCUACAUUCGUAUGCCACACGAUUCCCGCCGGCAGCGGCAUCUGGGCAGCCUUUCACUGGUGGCCAUAUAAAACUAGAAGACAUAACGCGGCGACACUCAUUCAGUAUUUGCGCAUCGUUCGAUCGUUUACUUCCAAAGUCGAGUAGAAAAGAAAAUCUAAAUAACAAAAAAGGCCGGAUCUAGACAAACAAAAUAGACAACGUCAUCUUUAUAGGCAGCAACAUUCGCAUUUACAUGAUAGCAUGCUAGAUGUCAAAUAAAACUGUGAUGACAAAUUGCCCUGGCAGUAUGCAAUGUAGCAGAGAUUGUGGCACAGCGCAACAAGAGGGAGCCUAAGAAAGAGUGAUCACAUAUGCGUACAACGUGUCCCAUGCAUCUUCUAUGACAGUCGGCUUGGCACGCAGACAGACAGACAGCACUAAUAGACAUCUUCCGCAGAAAGAUUGUAAUUUUUUAUGUGAGCGCGUAUUUAAACUUUCUUCGUGAUUGGAGGCAGUAAAACGAGCAGUAAAAUAUAAAAACCGCCACCAACACCACCGCCACCGCAAGCCAAAACAAAACAAAAAAAAAAAAAAA
rnacentral:sRNA from 1 species